UUUUUGCUAUUUAUCGACGCAAAUCGAAUCAUGUUACCCACGGCAUGAUUAUAUAAUAAUCAACUGUUGGUAUCAGCUUUCACAGUGCUUUAAAUAUUCCAAUGAUUAUUUUUGACAAAAACUAACUACUGACAGAUUUUGUGUAAAACUAUGUUAUACGUAUGAGUUAUAAACAACAAACAGGUUAUUGUACUGGGAAAUAGUCAAAGAUGAAACCACUUGUGUGUUGUUUAGUUGUUACACUAUUUAUCCAAAAGUAUGCAGGAGCGUCAAAUUUAAGAUGUUACAGCUGUGAGUCAUGCGGUGAUCCCUUUGAUGAAUCUAACAAAUUGAAUGUGAUAUGUUCUGGCUCUUGCGUGAAAUCAAACCAAAAAGGUUGUAUUACAAGAGGCUGUUCAAAUAUUACUCUGGUAUCAGAAUGUUCAAAAGAUGGACAACUUGAAGUUUGUGCAUGUGACACAUAUCUAUGUAACAAGACGCAAGGAAAACACAAAUAUUUGGUUGGACUUUAUAUCGCCAGCAUCAUCUUUUUUCUUUUACACACUCUCGAUAGAUAUCAUAAUUGAUGCGUUUCAUAUUGAGGAUCGUUUGCUGAUAACAAGUCUUUAGAUAUACAUUAUGACGAAAGGCUAUUUUGAACAUUCGCCAUUACCUGUGAAAGGUACCAGUUUUAAAAUGAGAUUAUUGUUCAUGACUAUCUUGGGAUUAACAUGGAUGAUUUCCCUUGUGCAGUAUAGCUUAUUAGUAUGUGUUUAGGAUUAGUUUUGCUCCAUUUCUCUUUAUUAUACUUAUUAUGUGUAUUGUAAUUUAUUUCAAAUGGCGAAAUGUCCAUUUGUGUUACACGAGUUACAAUGACAAGGUUUCAUACUUAUCUUUCUUAAAGGGUUUAUCGCUAUCUCUUAUAACGACUUUUCCAUAACUUAAUAGUCGAUUAUCGAAAUUGUAAAAAAUGAUAAUUUGAUAAAAACCGAUUCUGUGAUUUUAACUGUUUAACAAUGAUUUUGUGCAUGUACCAAAAUAUUUCUUUCAUACAAAUAAUUUGAAUUUAUUCUUUUAUUCAAAAUUCAAAACAAACCUUUGUAUACUGCAGGCAGAAGAAAUAAAGUUUCAUCUACACAUGUACAUACAUGCAUAGAAAACAUAGAUUAAAUGACAAUAAAAACAAAAUACAUGUAUAUAAACUCUUAAAUGAAUGUGUAAUAAGCACAAAUAUUUUGUGAGAAUUUUCAAUGAUACACCUCUACAACCAUGUGGCACUUUUGUUAUUGUAGAUUGUGACAUUGAAUUUAAUUAUGCAUGCAGGAGUAUUAUGGCGAGAACAAAGACAUUGAUCAUUUAGAUUGAAUAAACGUCCAUAUAAAAUGCUAACACUAGGCGGGAGGUGAAUACAAUUUUUCUUCAUAGUGUAUUUUGCUAAACCUUGCAAAAUGAUAUCAUGAAAAAAUAAAUAAAUGACUGAUAUAGACUUCCUUAAAUAGAAGUUAUAUUAAAGAAUAACGUGAAUUAACAACUUAAUUGCAAGGACACAUAUUUUCGGCAUGGCAUGCGAUUGAAAAAUUGAAAAUGCGCCCGUUUAAAGGCGACAUUAUAACGCUUGUGUAAGGGCUACAUUGUAAAGGUUUUAUUAAGAAUAGACGAAAUCAUUUUAUUGCAAAAGAUAUAUAUUUUAAAAUGUUUUUUGUUUAUAAAUAUUAUUAAAUGUUCAUUUCCGA